UACGGAGGGGGCAAGCGUUACUCGGAAUUAUUGGGCGUAAAGAGCUCGUAGGCGGUUUGUCGCGUCUGCCGUGAAAGUCCGGGGCUCAACUCCGGAUCUGCGGUGGGUACGGGCAGACUAGAGUGAUGUAGGGGAGACUGGAAUUCCUGGUGUAGCGGUGAAAUGCGCAGAUAUCAGGAGGAACACCGAUGGCGAAGGCAGGUCUCUGGGCAUUAACUGACGCUGAGGAGCGAAAGCAUGGGGAGCGAACAGG
rnacentral:rRNA from 1 species